UACGGAGGAUCCAAGCGUUAUCCGGAUUCAUUGGGUUUAAAGGGUGCGUAGGCGGAAUGAUAAGUCAGUGGUGAAAGCCUGCAGCUUAACUGCAGAACUGCCAUUGAUACUGUCAAUCUUGAGUAUAUUUGAUGUGGGCGGAAUGUGUCAUGUAGCGGUGAAAUGCUUAGAUAUGACACAGAACACCGAUUGCGAAGGCAGCUCACAAAAACUAUAAACUGACGCUGAGGCACGAAAGCGUGGGUAUCAAACAGG
rnacentral:rRNA from 1 species